rnacentral:rRNA from 1 species
CCUACGGGAGGCUGCAGUGAGGAAUAUUGGUCAAUGGACGAGAGUCUGAACCAGCCAAGUAGCGUGAAGGAUGACUGCCCUAUGGGUUGUAAACUUCUUUUAUAUGGGAAUAAAAUGUUCCACGUGUGGGAUUUUGUAUGUACCAUAUGAAUAAGGAUCGGCUAACUCCGUGCCAGCAGCCGCGAUAAUACGGGGGAUCCGAGCGUUAUCCGGAUUUAUUGGGUUUAAAGGGAGCGUAGGUGGAUUGUUAAGUCAGUUGUGAAAGUUUGCGGCUCAACCGUAAAAUUGCAGUUGAAACUGGCAGUCUUGAGUACAGUAGAGGUGGGCGGAAUUCGGGGUGUAGCGGUGAAAUGCUUAGAUAUCACGAAGAACUCCGAUUGCGAAGGCAGUUCACUGGACUGCAACUGACACUGAGGCUCGAAAGUGUGGGUAUCAAACAGGAUUAGAUACCCCAGUAGUC